GCAGCAUCAAAUUAGGCUAUGAAUGGUCUUAACUAUGUGGAUAUGUGCCACAUCAAGAUAAUGUAGUCAUGUUGUUGUAGAUCAAAUAGAGAUUGCUGCUAAUAUGAAUGUUAUGUAUCAAUUAGUAUCUAACAUUAGCUUUGAUAUGUGUUUGUACUCUAUAAUUUACAGUUCAAAAAAAAAAAAAAAAAAAAAAGAUUAGCUGGUCGGUUUCUCUAAUGUGUAUGGUUGGUUAUUUUCAUUGUAAUUUUGAAAUUUGAAUGCAUUACAUGCUUAAAGGAUAAGCGGUAAAAAGAGGAUUGCCCAAAUCUAUAUAAGCAAAUCAUCAGUCUAUUCCUCAAUUAAUGUGAGAUUGUAACCCAUUCUAAGUGGAUUGGGAUGUCAAACGGAGAAUAAUCCGACUCUGAUAAUAUGACACUGGAACAUAACUCAACUACAAAAGCUAUCUCGCGAGAAUCUAGUGGAACUAUAUAUAACCUAUUCUAACUUAAACCAAGAAUAGUAUUUUUCACAAUCAGUGAGUAAUGUUAUAUAAUAGCAAAUCAAAUAUCAUUUUUAUCAAAUUUUCAAUUACCAAGUAAUGUUUAUAAAAAUAAUUUAUCUAUAAUUAUGUAAUGAGUGAUGUGAUUGUAUAAAUUAUAGAAUAUUGUUUGCCUCAUUAAUGCAUAUAACUUGACCUCUUUUUUUCUGUGUUAUUUUCCUUUCUUUGUGUUCUUGGAUUCUGUUUUUAUUUGGUAAAAGAUGUCGGUUUGACGAGACAAAUCUUAGUGAAGCAGAAAGCAAUUACUUAAUCCAACAUUUAUUAAAGAUACCAAUAAGCAUUUUAAACAUCCACAAAUAAAUCUUCAUAUGUAUAUUACUAAAAAUUACGGGAAGUUCUACAUUUAACUAAUUUUACAAUCACAAAUUUUUGAAGUCCUAUUUUCUAGGGUUAAAGUCCUGCUAAAAAGACUAGCGCAAUAUAUCAUAUGAUAAAAAAAAUUCAAUUAAAUGGCUGAAUUUAUAUAGUAUAAUAUAUCGAUAUUGUAUAAUAAUGUAUAACUGUGAAUGUAUGAUCUAUAACCAUAUAUUAGAAAUGUAUAUACAUUUAUAUUCACUGUUUAUACAAAAUUUAUAUAUUGCAUUAGUUCGUCUUUCUCAAUGAAUUGAGCUUAUAAAUGUACAAAUUAUUAUCCCGCCCAAAUUCAAACAAAUUAGCAGAUUGAGUUUGAUUUUUGCCUCUUUAACUAACAUAUGCCAAUUAUAAUCCUGAAAUAACAGGCCGGGGGUGUUUUGAUAACACCCGUUUGAUUAAUCGAAGGGCUAUCAACUCAAUGCCAUUUAUCAAUAUCAAUACUUAAACUAGAAGUCAGUUUCCCUUCUAAGUUCUUACAGUCACGUUCCUCUAUAUUUUAAAAUGAAAAGUAAUGAGAAGAAGAAACUUUAUUAUAUCUCACUUAAAACUUAUUCACUUCUCCUUCCGUUUUAAUUUACGUGAACGGCUUGACCAGACAUAAGAAAAGACUUUGUUAUGUGUUUGUACUUAUUAAAGUUAUUUUAGUGCUUACUCUUAGUUGACUUUUCUUCACAAAAAAGUAUUAACUCAAACUCAAUAAGGAUGAAAAAUGAGGAUUGUGCCAUUAAAUAGGGAAUAUUUAUUGACUAAAAAAAAGAUAUCACAUUAAUUGAAACAAAAAGAAGUAUUAGUUUUCUAUCUUAAUAUUAAAGAAUUCUACUUAUAUAAUCCUAUAUAUGCUUUGAGUACGUACCUAUAUGGUUAUAUGCUUUGCACGGCCACUUAAUUAGUAUAUCAUAAUUUAAACUUAUUUUAGUGAGCAUGAAACAUCUAUCUACCUUCCUCUAAUCUUAUUAAUAAGUAUUUUUUCUCCAUUUUUAAUUUGUUUCUCUACCUUUUUCUCACAUGUUAUGACUAAUCCACACUACGUAUUUAUAAGUAACACUACUUCUUAGAUAAGUAAUAGGCACCUUUCAAGCAGGAGAUAUAUAUAUAUAUAUAUAUUUUGAUCGUGUAUGUGCCUACUUGGCCUUAUUAAUUAAAUGAAUUAUUGAUAAUCAAAUCAAACAAAUAUAUUCUCCUUUGUAAAAAUGCUCACUAUUUUAGCAGGAGUUUACGGCGUUGGCCAAGCCGUGAAAACAAUAUCUUGCAAGAGUGUAAGAUAGAAUUGUCCAUAAUAGAUACAACUUAGUUCGAGUUUUUCUCUCCUCACAUAACUUAAGCUUAAUGUAUCAAACGUACCUUUUCUAAAGGAAAUUUAAUUUAAAAACUUACGAGAUAUAUCUAGUCUUUCUCAACAUUUUUCCGUAAUUCUAUUAUGAAUUUUGACAUAAAUUUCAUCUUGCCUGAAUAUUUUUGGAUCAUUUCUUCAUAGUCUCUAAAAAUAUCUCAAAAAAUAGCAUCUUCAUUUUCACACUACUAUUACAAAAAAAGGAUAACUUGAUGCACAAAACAUCUCGCAUUAAACAUGUGAGAAAAUAAGUUAGAAAUCCACUUGUUUUCCAAGAAGACAUUUUUUAGGAAAACAUUUUUCAUGAAAACAUUUUCCUUCAUACCAAACACAUUCUAACUGUCUUCUCCUACCUACAACACGUACACCUCAUAUUCAACCACAUCCCAAAUAAGUAAGAAACAACUUAUUUUCCAUUUUUUCUAAGAAUAUUUUCCUAACCAAGGAAACUUUUUUUUUUUCAUAAGAAAUAUUUUAUUUCAUACUGAAGACAUGCGAAGAGAAAAUAUUCGGUAUUGAACAUUUGCAAUAUUACAAUAUUCAUCAUAUAUACAAAGUAGGGAAUUUAUUCGUUUCACAUAGAUAAAGCAUGAAACCUGCCUAAUAAACGAUAUACUUGCAUGAUGCUAUAAUAUAAUUAAAGAUGUCAAAUUAAUACUAUCAUAUAUAUUUAGCUGGUCCUAUAUAUGUUCCAAACAUAAAGUUGAAAUGGACGUCUUAAAUAAACCUUUUUGAAGUCUAGGUUAAUUACAUUUAACAAGUAAUAUUACAUGUAAUAAAUAGGUUGUUUAAUAUAUAUUCCCUUUAAUGCCUCCCCAAAAAAGAAAAAACGAAGUAAUAUUACAUAUUUACAUUACUAAAAAAUGGUUGAAGGGAACAAGUUGUCUCAAAAUACUCCUUUGCUUUUCUUCAAACACCCAUGUUUUUCUUUGUUGUUAGAUUAUCUCAUGUUGGUUUAGAAAUUUGGACUAGGCAUAUAGAGGAUUACUAGUUUUUUGUGAUCGAUUUUGAUAUAUAAUUUUUUAAAAUUAAAAUAUAGAUCUAGACUCAUUUGUCUACUUAUUUUACUCGAUAUUGAGCUCAUAUAUGAUUUCUAACUUUGGAAAAAUAUCAAAUUAAGUAAUCACUUUUUAAGUAAUUGAAUGUUAUUAAGAAUGUCGUUUAGAUGGUCAAUCAUUUUAAAAGUCAAGAAUUGGAUCAAAUUUAGUUGUUUGGAUUCUAAAUAAAUCUAACUACUAAUUAAUUUUUUAAUUUUUUAAAUAACUUUCUUUUGAAAAUUGUAUUUUUCUACUAAAAUGAUCAUGAAAAUGAAAUAAGUAAAGUUGAAUGACUAUGAAAGUUAUUUAUUGAAUAAAAUUGAAUGACUUUUAAAAAAUAAAUAAAACCGAAUAAAUAAUAGAUAAAAUAAUUUAAAAAAAAACAAGUAAUCAUUCCGGCCCAUUACAUAAUGAUUGGAUAACCAAAAUAUUUAAAAUGGCUCUCCCAAGCACCUUGAGCUGUGGAGAUUAUGUUCAUGUAACUUGUAUCUUAUGAUCAAUGUGAAGUGCACAUUAUGUAUAAUUAAGAGGUUGUAAGACUCUUUUUCAUGUUCAAUUUAUUUGUCAUUCAUUUUAAGCUAAAGACCGUUUUAGCAUAAGAAAUUUUUUUAAUCGACUAAGUUAAACUACAAGUAAUUUAAUUUCACAAAUUUUGAGAUAUGUAGGUUGAAUUCAAUAUUCAAAAUUUAAUUGUAUUUAAAGAAACCUCUACUCGUCUUAUAACUCUGAAGCUCUUUGUCUCUCCAUAAUCCAAAGUUGGAAUAAUAGGUUUUAAAUCUUUAAAAUCAUGUUUUAAAUCAAGCAUCUUGAAUUGUAUAUAAGUAACUCACAUAAUAUGAGAUAUGUAAAGAAUUUAGUAUCGAAUUUAAUAAAAAAAAAUUCUUAAAUUUCAUAUAUCAAUUACUUUUUCCAAGUGAUAAAUUAGUGGUUCGAUAAAAUUGAAUCUGUCAAUUUUCUUUGUUCAAACUCUCUUUCAUCAACCCUAACCAAAAAACGGGACACUUGUAUGUUGACACCUAGUUUGAUUAUCCGCAAUUUUGAUUAAUUUUUUUGACUCUUCAAUUUCAUAUUCCCUCGCUCCCGUAUCAAAGAUAAAUAAUUCAUUUUACUUGUCCAAUUUUAAAAAAAUUGAGAAAAUUUAUUUUAUAUUUAUAAAAAUAUAUAAUAACCAGAUAAAAUAAUAAAAAUUAAAUUUAAAAUUUCAAAAUAUCAUUAUUGAAGUUAGGGUGUUUGGAUUGACUUAAAAGUUGGUCAAACCUACUUUUAAGUUAGUUUUUGACUUCUGGAAAUGUUUGACAAAUAUAAAAAAUAACUUAAAAUAAUUCAAAAAUAACUUUUAAUAAGUUAAGGAGUGUUUGGCAAGGUCCAAAAUGACUUAAAAUAAGUUAAAAACCAAAAACAGGUCUUUUCAUACUUUUUAUUUUUUGACUUAAAAGUUAUUCUAGUUUAACUUUUUAUUUUUAACUUAAAAGCUAUUUUUUUAAGUCAAUUCAAACAGACACUUAGUUUAACGGAUACACUCUUAAUGAGAAAUCAAGAUAAGGCAAAUAAUAUUAUAAAACGAAAGAAGUGCAUACCUAGAAUUAAAAGUUGGUUAGAAAGGAAUGGAACCUCUCACCGACCACUUCAUCGAUAACAUGAUCACGUGACUUCGCUUCUUGGGAAAUGCCAUCAUCAUAUUCAUAUAUAAAUAAUUAAACACCAGCAUUGAGGAAGCUGAUACUUCCGUUUCUAUUUAUAUUUUACUAUUUUAUUUCAAUAUAUUAAGAAAUUAAGUAAAUUUAUUAUUUUAUUUUUAUUUAAUUUUUUUAAGUCAAUUUUUCAAUCAAUGAACAUGAAUUAUUCACUUAGUUUUUUCUAUGUUGGUCAAGUGUAUAUUUUCAAGGCUAAUACUCCCUCUAUCUUUAAUUACUUGUCCACUUUUAAAUAAACACACCUAUUAAGAAAAUAAUAAUUGACACAGUGAGUUUAGCAUUUCACCCCUAUUAAUUAUGAAGUGGAUGAAUUAAAAACUUAUGAUUUUCAAGAAGUUCUACAUUUUUCAAAGUAAUUAAUUGAUGGUAUAAUAGGUAAAUAGUUUUUGUCCUUUCUUGAUAUGCCAAAAUGGACAAGUAAUUAGGGACAACUAAAAAAGAAAAUGUGGACAAGUAAUUAGGGACAGAGGGAGUAACUCACAAGGGUAAAAUAGGAAGAAUAUUGUAAUUUAUGCAUUAAUUUUAUGAAAUGACAAGUAUUAUGAACCAACUAUUUAUAGUAAGAAUGACAUGUAAAAAGGAACAAAGCAAGUAUGUUUAAUUAUUGGUUAUGCCAUUCUUUUGUUUUAUUUUUAUUUUUAAUUUAUUUAAACUACGUGUUAAAUCAAAUUCAGAUUACCAACAGAUUAAAACGGAGGGACUAUUUAUGCCAUUACACAACAAAUUAAUGUAGUACAUUUCUUUAGUAAAUCCCAUAAAGACGUUUAAGAAACUUGCACCUCGUGGUAAUAGUUUGAAUUAAUUGUGAGUCUCUUUUAGCUAUAAUUAUGUUUGUUUCUCUUCUCUCUCCUUUUAUCUCGCCUCUCUCCACUCUUAUACAUAUACAUAUACAAUUAUAUGAUAUAUAUACAAAUACAAUUUCCCCUCUGAUCUCUCCACUCUCUGACUUCUCUUCCUCACCUAAUCUCACUCGCCAGAUAUACAAAUACAUAUGUAUAUUUGCUACAUAUAUACAAUUAUACAUAUGCAAUUCAACAAAUAUAUAAAUACAAUUCACCUUUCUCCACUCUGUGCCCUCUCUUGCUCGCCUCUCUCCUCCCUGUAACAUAUAACUAUGAAUCGUAAUUAAUAAACUAUAGCUACGAAGCCUAAUUAGUAAGUUAUUUUUAGUGACUAUUUGCGAAAUUUCGCUAAUUACUUAUUGGAUCAGUAUCUUGAGUGUGAGUUUAUUAUGUUAGAUUUGGUUUAAGAAAACUUAGAUCGUGUCGGUACGUAAAGUUGUAAAUAGAGUUGGUCGGUGGAAAACCUAGAACGUCACGUCAAAGAGCAGAAUCAAAUGCCAUUUUUGACACUAUAAAUAUGUUGUCUCCAUCAAUUAUUGAAAUCCAAAUUACAAAAAUUGGCUAGAUUAAUUAAAGACCAUAAAUCAUGAGCAAAUUGUGGGCUUUGCUUACUCAUCUACAUGCUCUAGCCGGGUACUAAUUAACUUCUUUCAUUUCUUAACCAAGGCUUAAUUAAUCUUUUUAGUUUAACUUAUAAUUAUUCUGAUUUUCUUUUUGAAUAAAUAUGCAGGCCAGUGGUGAUGUUACUCUAUCCUCUGUAAGUAAUUCAUCUGUUUAUAUAAAAUAUUUGUUUUUAUAUAUAAUUAUCCAGUAUGAAAAGUUUAAUUUUAUUUUUUUUUGGUUUAUUGUGUAGAUAUGCAUCAGUAGUAGCAAUAGAGAGCACAUCAAAGUUGGAUGAUGAACAAUGGCUUGCAUAUUGGAUUCUAUACUCUUUUCUUACUCUUAUGGAGAUGCUUCUUCAACCUAUUCUACAAUGGUAAUUAACUAAUUCAUUAAGCAUUUCAAUUGUUCCUCCGAGUAAAAAAAAAUUGAUUUUAAUUCAACUUAUAUGUAACAAUGGAGGCUAACUUGCAUUAGCGUAGGUUGUCUACGUACAUUCAUUAUUUUCCAUUGAAAUUUCCUAUUGAAAAAUGUUCAGUAGCGAUCUCCACAUACAUAUCUAGAUUGAAUAGGUGAGAAUCUUAAUUGGAUGAGAAUUUGUUAGCAUUAUACGUUUUCUCAAUGAACUGGUUCAGUGAAAAAUAAGUGAGAAAAUCAUGUUUUACACCUCUUGGGGUGUGAUUCUUAUUCGGACCCUACUAAUGAAAAAUGUUCUGUGUACGAGAUUGUCCAUUUAAUUGUGAAUGUUAAUUUGGAUGCAUAUAUUGGUAGGAUACCAAUUUGGUAUGAGGUGAAAUUGGGAAUGGUGGCAUGGUUGGUUCUUCCCCAAUUCAGAGGAGCUGCUUUUAUAUAUAACAAAUUUGUGAGGGAAAAACUCAUCAAGAAAUAUGGAUCUUCAUAUAUCCACCACAAGUCUCAAUCUCCAGAUGGAAAAACCAAAACCAAAAUUGUGGAUUACAUCACCCUCAAGAAGGUGAAAUUCUAACUUUUUCCCUUUUUCCCUUUUUUUAUUUUUUAUUUUCUUGUUUCUAUUAAUAAUAAAAAUACUCCAUGACAAAUUUCACUUUAAAAGAAUGAUACAAAAGAAAAGAAAAAGUAGUAAAGGAGGAUAAUGGAAGGAAUUAUUAUUAGCUUAUUAACUUUAGUUAAAGUGAAUGUGAUUAAUUGUUUGACUUGAUCAUUUCAAUGUAUUUUUUUUUUUUUGGGACAGGGAGAUCAUUAAUUUAAAGUCAUUGAGGAUGGAUGCAGCAUCAAAUUAGGCAAUGAAUGGUCUUAAUUAUGUGGAUAUGUGCCACAUCAAGAUAAUGUAGUUAUGUUGUUGUAGAUCAAAUAGACAUUGCUUGCUAAUAUGAAUGUUAUGUAUUAAUUAGUAUCUAACAUGAGCUUUGAUAUGUUUUUGUACUCUUUAAUUUACAAUUCAAAAUAAAAAAUAAAAAAUUAAGAUUAGCUGGUCGGUUUCUCUAAUGUGUAUGGUUGGUUAUUUUCAUUGUAAUUUUGAAAUUUGAAUGCUUCAUUCAUUACAUGCUUAGAUAAACAGUAAAGGGAGGAUUGUCUAAAUCUAUAUAAGCAAAUCAUCAGUCUAUUCCUUAAUUAAUGUGAGAUUGUAACCCAUUCUAAGUAGACUGGGGUAUCAAACGGAGAAUAAUCUAACUCUGAUAGCAUAAAAAUAUAUGACAUUGGCGUAUAACUCAACUACAAAAGCUAUCUCGCGAGAAUCUAUAUAAGCACACUAUCUGUUCAUUCACCAACUAAUGUGGAACUAUAUAUAACCUAUUCUAACUUAAACCAAGAACAGUAUUUUUCACAAUCAGUGAGUAGUGUUAUAUAAUAGCAAAUCAAUUAUCAUUUUUAUCAAAUUUUCAAUUACUAAGUAUUGUUUAUAAAAGCAAUUUAUCUAUAAUUAUGUAAUGAGUGAUGUAAUUGUAUAAAUUAUAGAAUAUUGUUUGCACCAUUAAUGCAUAUAACUUGACCUCUUUUUUUCUUUGUUAUUUUCCUUUCUUUGAGUUCUUGGAUUCUGUUUUUACUUGGUAAAAGAUGUCGGUUUGACGAGACAAAUCUUAGUGAAGCAGAAAGCAAUUA
rnacentral:lncRNA from 1 species